rnacentral:rRNA from 1 species
UACAGAGGGGGCAAGCGUUAUUCGGAAUUAUUGGGCGUAAAGGGCGCGUAGGCGGCCUAGCAAGUGGCGGGUGAAAUCCCUCGGCUUAACCGAGGAACUGCCUGCCAGACUGCCUGGCUCGAGACCGGGAGAGGUGAGUGGAAUUCCCAGUGUAGCGGUGAAAUGCGUAGAUAUUGGGAGAAACACCAGUGGCGAAGGCGGCUCACUGGACCGGAACUGACGCUGAGGCGCGAAAGCGUGGGGAGCAAACAGG